rnacentral:sRNA from 1 species
GGACUCAAUUUUUCCAAGAACUGGCUUUCUGUCUUCAUGUGCCAAUUCUAUUUAUAACACUUUGAUUUAAUUCUGUUUAAACGUGUUUCAUCUUUCACUCACACAACAGUCAUGUCUUUGCCAUGCAUGAUGUUUUGCUAUUUCAUUAGGCAACUUAAAAUAAUUUUCCCUAAAAGAACACAAAGGACUCGAAUACUCCGUGUGUUUGUGUUUCUGAGACAAUCUACUCUUGUUAAACACAAAUUGAGUGGAAUUCUCAUUGUCAGUUGUAGGCUGUGUGACAGGGGCCCUCAGCCUCCCUGUGUGUACAUGACUGUCGCUUUUCCCACCCAGGGGCCAGUUGUUCUUGCUUCCACUUAACUCCAGUUCAGAUUCUGACUUGUUUCACCAGUAGAGUUGGCAAAAGUCAUGUGGGACUGUUGCCGUAGGACUUUAAAAGUUUAUACGUCCCUAUUGUUUGCUUCAUGGGCCCAAUGCCAGGUUAAAAAAAAGUCUUAUGAUAGCUGGUCUCCACAGUCUGCUUGGUGGGACUUAGAAUUAUCUAGGAAACCCGUAAGUGUAUCUGUGAGACUGUUUUUGUUUGACAGGGGUAGGACCCUCUCUGAUUGGGUGGCACAAUUCCACAUCCCGGACCAAAUAAAGAGGAAAAUGAGGAAAGCGAGUUGGGCACCAGCAUUCAUCUCUCUCUGCUUCUUGACUGUGGAUGCAGUGACCAGUUCAUGUGUCUGCCAUGCCAUUCCUGCUGUGAUGGAUUGUAUCGCUUCUUAAGCCAUUGGUCUGAUUAACUCUUUCUUCUUUAAGCUGUGUUUGUCAUGCACUCGUCACAGUGAUGAGAAAAGUCACUAAAAGAGACAGGCUACUGAAUGGUGUGGGAUUGUGUGCGGAAAGAGAGCCCUGGACGGUUUCCGGCCACUCAACCAAGGGUUCAACCCUCUUGGGUCCAGACCUAGUUGAGCUUCCAGCUGAAUUCAGACCAGAGGGGCUUAUGAGGUCCACCGCUUCCUGAGGAUCUGUAAGCAGUUAAUGAUUGCUGAGGGAAGAAGGGACAUUUUCCUCAAUAGUGUGGCCACUGAUAAGCCCAUGUGCCCGUUUUGUCAUUUUCCCAGUUUGAAGAGUCAGUGGAACGUGUCUGACCUGGUUUCUCUCCACUGCCCUGCUGCCCUGCCUGAGCAAUCUCUUCUCAUCCGGGACUUUGCUGGGUUUACCAUAGGUUCAAAUGGCCCAGGAGGCUGCCACAGACCUCUUUCUCAUAACAGAUUACCUCUUGCAGCUCUUCAUUUUAAAGAUUUUGGGGAUGGUAGAAAGAGAAUAAACUCAUAUAAGAUUAGCUCAUUGUUUACGAGUUGUUUCCCCCAAGCCCUUUACUUGGAGAUUUUACAAAAAGAUGGCCCCGGAAGACUGAGGGCUGAGAGAGCCCUUAAGUUGGAAACAGCAGCUUUCACAAUGGUUCCCUGUGGCUUAAACAAAUAAAAGUGACAUCAGUGGAUUUUCAUAUGCUUGUCCCUUAAGCAAACAAGGACAUCACUUUUCUAGAUGAAUGAAAAAGAUUUAGAAUUCUCUAUUAUCUUUUGGACCAUUUAGGUCAGAGGAUGGAGGGCAGAGAAAUAGAGGGCAACUUUCUGCUUAUCUAUCAAUCAAUCUAUCUACACAUCUAUCUAUCUAUCUAUC